CUAGGGCAAUUUUAAUGAGUUCUACUAAUACCUAGAGUGAAACAAUUGACCCAAUUACUUAACCUCAUGGAGGGGGAUGUUUUUACUUUUUAUAGUCAAUAAAUAAAUGGCAAAACCUAAUAGGGCAUGUGCUUUGUUUACUUAUCUUCGUUUGUAAACACAUCUCCACCAAUGGAUACUAGCUACUAGCUCGAGAAAGACUUCAGACAAAUUUCAGUCAUCUGUUGAGAAAAGCCCUUUAAUUUUAUUACUUGAGACUUUAUGUAGGUGAUUUUAUUAAGUGAUCAUUAAAUAAAAAGUAUUCUUGAGGUAAAGUGGUUCUUCCGAAUUUAAGUUGGACAACCCAAGAAGUUAAUUUAAAGAAUCUACUCUUUUCAAGAAUUAAGAAAUGUAUGAAGUACUUCUCAGUUCUCGCUAGUAGUCCUUAAAUUACAAUUUGGAAUUAAUUCCAUUUCAACUAAUCCAUCUAUUAGUCAAUGUUACUAUUACAAGGUAAGGCAACAAGAAAAUAGCUUUUUUUUCUCUGGAAAGAGUUUCUAGAUGAGUAUGGACUGCCUCUACUAAUUUCGAUGCUAAUAUCAAAUAAAUUCAAUACUCGAAAUCUGUUUCUUUAGUGAGUAAGGACUGACUCACCAAGAUAAUGAAGAGCUAUCAUCCAUUUGGAUUAGGAUCUUUCAAGAUAAUACGAAUAUAGUCCAUUCCUAAAUUACUCAUUCUCAUGCAGUUGAGGAAAGGGACCAGUAUUUCUUCACAUGAAAGUCAAGAUAUUUUUUAUUGAGGAAUCCUUCGUGCUCCUUUAAAUAAAGACAACAUUCAACAUCUAUAAAGAAUUUAUCUUCAUACAAUUUAUAUAAAUAUAAAUACUAGUAUGUUUUUGGGAGCCCUCUGAUCUCUUAUUAAAUGGAAAGAAAUAACUAUGUUUUAAUAUUUUGUUGUAAAUUUUCUAAUAUUUUUGAAUUAAAUACUCAGGAGUCAGGACUGAUACUUAUCAGUUAUCACUUCGACUUUUCUUUUUUAUGUUAAUAUUUAAUAGAUACAUGAUGUUAUCCAUAUGGUCCUUGUAAAUAUUUUUUGUAUUCUGAAAUACAUUUCAAUUUAUUUA
rnacentral:lncRNA from 1 species